rnacentral:lncRNA from 13 species
GGUUUCCUUGGACGCUAGCUUCUGGAGGGACUCAGCCAAUGAGGAGCCCCAGGAGGACACUGAAGGGAGGGGGCUGAGGUCAGGUUAUAUUCCCCGACUCUCCCUGUGAGGCUGCCUCUGGCUGGCUGUGAUCCUUGACUUCAGUCACUGCCCCUGUCAAUAGUAUUAUAUCUGCACAGGAUCCUUUCCUUCUGAGUUUCAGUAACUACCAGUUGAGCCUUGAACAAUGCAGGGGUGAGAAGUGCUGACCCCCAUGCAGUCAAAAAUCCAUGGAUAACUUCUGACUCCCCCAAAACGUAACCAUAAAUAGCCCACUCUUGACCGGAAGCCUUACCAAUAACAGAAACCGUCGAUUAACACAUAAUUUUGUAUGGAUUACAUACUGUAAGUAAGCCAGAGAAAAGAAAAUGUUAAGAAAAGCAUAAGGAAGAGAACAUACAUUUAUAUUACUGAACUGUAUUAACUGAUAUGUAAGUUUAUGUUGUCUGUUUUCAAAAUGGACACCUGUCUGAAAUGGUGAGCAAUCGCAGCUGCAGACCUCAAUGUAUGGUACAUAUCGAGCAAUUAAACUUUUUCUUGUAAUGUCAUGACUUUUCUCCGCCUCUUGGGAGAACUUCGAGCAUCACUAGUGGCACAUCGUAUGGAUCCCAUGGUGUUACUCAAGAUUUACAAUAUUGGACUAAACAGGAUGAAAGAUAUAGGAGAACUGCAAGAUCACGUUUUACAACAAAAAAGGCUUUACUCCCUCCUAAUUCUCCAAAGUCUGACGUGAGGUCAGGCUGUUUCAUAUUUGACGCCACUGGGAAAAUAUCAGGAAGGAGGAAAUCAUGAUGAAGCCACAGAUUUAGGAUUUUUGGUCUGUGAUUUUGGUAAGUAAAUUGCAGUAUAUCUGAGUCAUUCUUUCAAAUCCUUCUGAGUUUGGGGGAAUGGGGCUAUUGUUAGGCCAUUCUAUGACUUAAUCCCUACAACAUUCAAGUAGAGGAGUCUAUAAAUCUGUCAUCUGCUAUUAACGCUGUUGUAAAUAGAGGAUCAGGUACAGUUUAAGAAAAGAAAAUUAUCAAGGUAUGGAGUUUCUUGGAGUCAACACUUUCUUUUAUGAGAAAACAUAAGGGUUGUACUAAGAAAUUAAAUUAAUAUAUUUUGAACCUUAUUAAUAGUAAACUAUCCCAUUUAGUAAUGUUCAUUACUUAAAAAUUAAAUAUAGACCCUUUAAAUAAUUCAAUAUUUAAGUUGAGAGGGAUCAUAGAAAUAGAGAAAAGGAGGACCAUUUUCGCAAUGAGCCCAUAUUGCAAACAAUUUGAUAUUAAUACUAGUUGGAUGGUUGAAUUCUGUCAAUGAUUUACUUUCUUUUCUAAAUUAAAGCAUUAUUAAGAUUAUACAUGUACUAAUGUCCCCUUGAUUUGCAUUCAGAUGUGCUUUCUCGAAUGGGAAAGAAAGAAGAGACAUAACUGUGAAAUUUUAGUGGCAACUUGCUAAACUUUUGAGCAUACAUGUAUAUCUGUUUUGCUGAAACCAAAGUAUCAGAUCAUGAAAAAAUAAAUUUUUUAUAUAAUUUCA